GAUGAACGCUGGCGGCGUGCUUAACACAUGCAAGUCGAACGGUGAAAGAGAGCUUGCUCUCUGGAUCAGUGGCGAACGGGUGAGUAACACGUGAGCAAUCUGCCCCUGACUCUGGGAUAAGCGCUGGAAACGGCGUCUAAUACCGGAUACGAGCUGCGAAGGCAUCUUCAGCAGCUGGAAAGAACUUCGGUCAGGGAUGAGCUCGCGGCCUAUCAGCUAGUUGGUGAGGUAACGGCUCACCAAGGCGUCGACGGGUAGCCGGCCUGAGAGGGUGACCGGCCACACUGGGACUGAGACACGGCCCAGACUCCUACGGGAGGCAGCAGUGGGGAAUAUUGGACAAUGAACGAAAGUUUGAUCCAGCAAUACUACGUGAGUGAUAGAAGACUUAAGUUGUAAAACUAUUAUGUUGAAGAAGAUAAUGACAUUAUUCAAAGAAUAAGCCCCGGCUAAUUUCGUGCCAGCAGCCGCCGUAAGAC
rnacentral:rRNA from 1 species